rnacentral:rRNA from 1 species
GACGAACCGUGCGAACGUUAUUCGGAAUCACUGGGCUUAAAGGGUGCGUAGGCUGCGCGGAAAGUUGGGUGUGAAAUCCCUCGGCUCAACCGAGGAACUGCGCCCAAAACUGCCGUGCUCGAGGGAGACAGAGGUGAGCGGAACUUAGGGUGGAGCGGUGAAAUGCGUUGAUAUCCUAAGGAACACCGGUGGCGAAAGCGGCUCACUGGGUCUCUUCUGACGCUGAGGCACGAAAGCUAGGGUAGCGAACGGG